rnacentral:rRNA from 1 species
CGGGGGGGCAAGCGUUGUCGGAAUUACUGGGCGUAAAGGGCUCGUAGGCGGCCAACUAAGUCGGAUGUGAAAUCCCCAGGCUCAACCUGGGAACUGCAUCCGAUACUGGAUGGCUUGAAUUCGGGAGAGGGAUGCAGAAUUCCAGGUGUAGCGGUGAAAUGCGUAGAUAUCUGGAGGAAUACCGGUGGCGAAGGCGGCAUCCUGGACCGACAUUGACGCUGAGGAGCGAAAGCUAGGGGAGCAAACGGGAUUAGAUACCCCGGUAGUCCUAGCCCUAAACGAUGAAUGCUUGGUGUGACGGGUAUCGAUCCCUGUCGUGCCGAAGCUAACGCAUUAAGCAUUCCGCCUGGGGAGUACGGUCGCAAGGCUG